UUAGGACGAACGCUGGCGGCGUGCCUAAUACAUAGCAAGUCGAACGGUCUUUCUAUGGAAGCUUGCUUCCACUGAGAAGAUAGUGGCGAACGGGUGAGUAACACGUGGGUAACCUGCCCAUAAGAGGGGGGAUAACAUCCGGAAACGGGUGCUAAUACCGCAUAGUUUUCUUGAUCGCAUGAUCGGGAAAGGAAAGACGGCCUUUGUGCUGUCGCUUAUGGAUGGACCCGCGGCGUAUUAGUUAGUUGGUGAGGUAACGGCUCACCAAGACGAUGAUACGUAGCCGACCUGAGAGGGUGAUCGGCCACAUUGGGACUGAGACACGGCCCAAACUCCUACGGGAGGCAGCAGUAGGGAAUCUUCCGCAAUGGACGAAAGUCUGACGGAGCAACGCCGCGUGAGUGAAGUAAAAGGGUUUUCGGAUCGUAAAACUCUGUUGUCAGAGAAGAACAAGUUGGAGAGUAACUGCUCCAGCCUUGACGGUAUCUGACCAGAAAGCCACGGCUAACUACGUGCCAGCCGCAGC
rnacentral:rRNA from 1 species